rnacentral:rRNA from 1 species
UGGGGAAUUUUGGACAAUGGGGGAAACCCUGAUCCAGCCAUCCCGCGUGUGCGAUGAAGGCCUUCGGGUUGUAAAGCACUUUUGGCAGGAAAGAAACGUCAUGGGUUAAUACCCCGUGAAACUGACGGUACCUGCAGAAUAAGCACCGGCUAACUACGUGCCAGCAGCCGCGGUCAUACGUAGGGUGCAAGCGUUAAUCGGAAUUACUGGGCGUAAAGCGUGCGCAGGCGGUUCGGAAAGAAAGAUGUGAAAUCCCAGAGCUCAACUUUGGAACUGCAUUUUUAACUACCGGGCUAGAGUGUGUCAGAGGGAGGUGGAAUUCCGCGUGUAGCAGUGAAAUGCGUAGAUAUGCGGAGGAACACCGAUGGCGAAGGCAGCCUCCUGGGAUAACACUGACGCUCAUGCACGAAAGCGUGGGGAGCAAACAGG